UUAAAUUGAAGAGUUUGAUCAUGGCUCAGAUUGAACGCUGGCGGCAGGCCUAACACAUGCAAGUCGAACGGUAACAGGAAGCAGCUUGCUGCUUUGCUGACGAGUGGCGGACGGGUGAGUAAUGUCUGGGAAACUGCCUGAUGGAGGGGGAUAACUACUGGAAACGGUGGCUAAUACCGCAUAACGUCGCAAGACCAAAGAGGGGGACCUUCGGGCCUCUUGCCAUCAGAUGUGCCCAGAUGGGAUUAGCUUGUUGGUGAGGUAACGGCUCACCAAGGCGACGAUCCCUAGCUGGUCUGAGAGGAUGACCAGCCACACUGGAACUGAGACACGGUCCAGACUCCUACGGGAGGCAGCAGUGGGGAAUAUUGCACAAUGGGCGCAAGCCUGAUGCAGCCAUGCCGCGUGUAUGAAGAAGGCCUUCGGGUUGUAAAGUACUUUCAGCGGGGAGGAAGGUGUUGUGGUUAAUAACCACAGCAAUUGACGUUACCCGCAGAAGAAGCACCGGCUAACUCCGUGCCAGCAGCCGCGGUAAUACGGAGGGUGCAAGCGUUAAUCGGAAUUACUGGGCGUAAAGCGCACGCAGGCGGUCUGUCAAGUCGGAUGUGAAAUCCCCGGGCUCAACCUGGGAACUGCAUUCGAAACUGGCAGGCUUGAGUCUUGUAGAGGGGGGUAGAAUUCCAGGUGUAGCGGUGAAAUGCGUAGAGAUCUGGAGGAAUACCGGUGGCGAAGGCGGCCCCCUGGACAAAGACUGACGCUCAGGUGCGAAAGCGUGGGGAGCAAACAGGAUUAGAUACCCUGGUAGUCCACGCCGUAAACGAUGUCUACUUGGAGGUUGUGCCCUUGAGGCGUGGCUUCCGGAGCUAACGCGUUAAGUAGACCGCCUGGGGAGUACGGCCGCAAGGUUAAAACUCAAAUGAAUUGACGGGGGCCCGCACAAGCGGUGGAGCAUGUGGUUUAAUUCGAUGCAACGCGAAGAACCUUACCUGGUCUUGACAUCCACAGAACUUUCCAGAGAUGGAUUGGUGCCUUCGGGAACUGUGAGACAGGUGCUGCAUGGCUGUCGUCAGCUCGUGUUGUGAAAUGUUGGGUUAAGUCCCGCAACGAGCGCAACCCUUAUCCUUUGUUGCCAGCGGUUAGGCCGGGAACUCAAAGGAGACUGCCAGUGAUAAACUGGAGGAAGGUGGGGAUGACGUCAAGUCAUCAUGGCCCUUACGACCAGGGCUACACACGUGCUACAAUGGCGCAUACAAAGAGAAGCGACCUCGCGAGAGCAAGCGGACCUCAUAAAGUGCGUCGUAGUCCGGAUUGGAGUCUGCAACUCGACUCCAUGAAGUCGGAAUCGCUAGUAAUCGUGGAUCAGAAUGCCACGGUGAAUACGUUCCCGGGCCUUGUACACACCGCCCGUCACACCAUGGGAGUGGGUUGCAAAAGAAGUAGGUAGCUUAACCUUCGGGAGGGCGCUUACCACUUUGUGAUUCAUGACUGGGGUGAAGUCGUAACAAGGUAACCGUAGGGGAACCUGCGGUUGGAUCACCUCCUUACCUUAAAGAAGC
rnacentral:rRNA from 4 species